rnacentral:rRNA from 1 species
CCUACGGGGGGCUGCAGUGGGGAAUCUUGCGCAAUGGGCGAAAGCCUGACGCAGCAACGCCGCGUGAGCGAAGAAGGUCUUCGGAUUGUAAAGCUCUUUCAGUUGGGACGAAGCUUCUACGGUGAAUAGCCGUAUGGAGUGACGGUACCUUUAGAAGAAGCCCCGGCUAACUACGUGCCAGCAGCCGCGGUAAUACGUAGGGGGCGAGCGUUGUCCGGAAUCAUUGGGCGUAAAGAGCGUGUAGGCGGCUCAGUCAGUCUGGUGUGAAAACUUGAGGCUCAACCUCAAGCUGUCACUGGAUACUGCUGGGCUAGAGUCCGGAAGAGGAGAUUGGAAUUCCUGGUGUAGCGGUGGAAUGCGCAGAUAUCAGGAGGAACACCUAUGGCGAAGGCAGAUCUCUGGUACGGUACUGACGCUGAGACGCGAAAGCAUGGGGAGCGAACAGGAUUAGAUACCCUAGUAGUC